rnacentral:rRNA from 1 species
GAUGAACGCUGGCGGCGUGCCUAAUACAUGCAAGUCGAGCGAACAGACGAGGAGCUUGCUCCUCUGACGUUAGCGGCGGACGGGUGAGUAACACGUGGAUAACCUACCUAUAAGACUGGGAUAACUUCGGGAAACCGGAGCUAAUACCGGAUAAUAUAUUGAACCGCAUGGUUCAAUAGUGAAAGACGGUUUUGCUGUCACUUAUAGAUGGAUCCGCGCCGUAUUAGCUAGUUGGUAAGGUAACGGCUUACCAAGGCAACGAUGCGUAGCCGACCUGAGAGGGUGAUCGGCCACACUGGAACUGAGACACGGUCCAGACUCCUACGGGAGGCAGCAGUAGGGAAUCUUCCGCAAUGGGCGAAAGCCUGACGGAGCAACGCCGCGUGAGUGAUGAAGGUCUUCGGAUCGUAAAACUCUGUUAUUAGGGAAGAACAAAUGUGUAAGUAACUAUGCACGUCUUGACGGUACCUAAUCAGAAAGCCACGGCUAACUACGUG